GCUUUAGAUUGUGUUUCCACUCUGUUAUUUGUUGUAGAUGAAUGUGAGGAAAAUGGACUCAUCAUGCUGACAUGUUGAUAAUGGCUGCCCCUGAGCGCAGCGUGGUGAUGUAGUGUUUAGCACGUGAGACGCCUUUCAGGAUGGAGUGCAGUCUGGUAAUCAUAAAACACCGGCUGAGCCGAGACAAACGAACUGUCAGGAGCGCGCUCAGACCCAGAAAGGCCCCAGGUCGUUUUCCAGCUCCGUUCCAGAUCUUUCAGCGUAACUUAACAGCCUAAUUAUUUCUAUCAAACCCCCUGCUCGAGUUAUAACACACCACAUGGUGCACGGCGGAUCAUCUUCUUCGCUGUCUGAAUGGUUUUUUUUUGUUAAGUGCUAAUGAAAUCAAGAACACCCAGUCCUUUUUGUUUACUCCUGGCGUAGAGCUGUGAUAUUUUUAUUCUCUGUCUUACAGGAAGAAAUUUCAGAGUUUCCAGGACAGAAGGCUGAGGGUUAACGAAGACGAUGCAUCGACGCUAAAGAAGGCCAGGGUGGAUGGGAAGUUUCAUGAAGCUUUGCUGGACAGGAGAAGCAAAAUGAAAGCAGACAGAUACUGCAAAUGAAGACCGGGAGGAUUUCAACCGUGUUCUUGUUAAAGUCCUGCCUGUUGUCUAAUUGUGGUUGUGUGAUGUGGCUGGGUUUUUUUUUUUUUUUUGUUGUUGUUGUUUUUACAUUUUAAAAAUAAACCUUUUACUGGUUAAAAUGA